rnacentral:tRNA from 1 species
AGGGAAGUAGCGCAGUCCGGUUAGCGCACUUGCUUUGGGAGCAAGGGGUCGCAGGUUCGAAUCCUGUUUUCCCUA